rnacentral:rRNA from 1 species
GACGAACGCUGGCGGCGUGCUUAACACAUGCAAGUCGAACGGAAAGGCCCUGCUUUUGUGGGGUUCUCGAGUGGCGAACGGGUGAGUAACACGUGAGUAACCUGACCUUGACUUUGGGAUAACUUAAGGAAACUGGGGCUAAUCCCGGAUAGGAGCUCCUGCUGCAUGGUGGGGGUUGGAAAGUUUCGGCGGUGGGGGAUGGACUCGCGGCUUAUCAGCUUGUUGGUGGGGUAGUGGCUUACCAAGGCUUUGACGGGUAGCCGGCCUGAGAGGGUGAACGGCCACAUUGGGACUGAGGUACGGCCCAGACUCCUACGGGAGGCAGCAGUGGGGAAUAUGACACAAUGGGCGGAAGCCGGAUGCAGCAACGCCGCGGGCGGGAUGACGGCCUGCGGGGUGUGAACCGCUUUCGCCUGUGACGAAGCGUGAGUGACGGUAAUGGGUAAAGAAGCACCGGCUAACUACGUG